ensembl:snRNA U2 U2 spliceosomal RNA
GUGGCUUCUCUGCCUUUUGGCUAAGAUCAUGUGUAGUAUCUGUUCUUAUCAGUUAUAUAUCUGAUAUGUCCUCUAUAUAAGGACUAUGUAUUAAAUAGAUUUUUAGAACAGGGAGAUAGAAAAAGGGCUUGCUCCGUCUGCUCCAUGCAUUGACCUGGUAUUGCAUUACCUCCGGGAAUCCUUUGGGCAGUCGUG